GUUGAUCCGGGAAAUAUUCUUCACUCCAUUGUUUUCAUAGUCGCCAGAGAUAUCGUGCUCACCGCCGGAAACCUUUUUUUGGAGAACCUCCAGGAGAUCGUCUACAGGAGCAGUACAAUAUUAUUUUUUUGAAAUCAGACAACGGGGUCUUAAAGUUUAAGAAAUUUGCUAUAAGUAAAUGUUUUUUAUAUAAAUGUUAAAUAAAGGUCUUUCCAAAAAAA
rnacentral:lncRNA from 1 species